rnacentral:rRNA from 1 species
UUGACCAACUUGACCUCAA